GAUGAACGCUAGCUACAGGCUUAACACAUGCAAGUCGAGGGGUAACAAGAGGAAAGCUUGCUUUUCUUGUUGACGACCGGCGCACGGGUGAGUAACGCGUAUCCAACCUGCCUAUAACUAGGGAAUAACCUUGCGAAAGUAAGACUAAUACCCUAUGAUUUCCUUUGAUGACAUCAGAUUAGGAAUAAAGAUUUAUCGGUUAUAGAUGGGGAUGCGUCUGAUUAGGUUGUUGGCGGGGUAACGGCCCACCAAGGCAACGAUCAGUAGGGGUUCUGAGAGGAAGGUCCCCCACAUUGGAACUGAGACACGGUCCAAACUCCUACGGGAGGCAGCAGUGAGGAAUAUUGGUCAAUGGGCGGAAGCCUGAACCAGCCAAGUAGCGUGCAGGAUGACGGCCCUAUGGGUUGUAAACUGCUUUUAUACAGGAAUAAAGUUAGCCACGUGUGGUUAUUUGUAGGUACUGUAUGAAUAAGGACCGACUAAUUCCGUGCCAGCAGCCGCAGUAA
rnacentral:rRNA from 1 species